rnacentral:misc_RNA from 1 species
AAGACAAAAAGGGGCUGCUGCUUGCUACCCCCUUCAUCUGAGAUCGCAAAUUGUCUACUGCUUUACAAGUUUCAAGUCUUUGCGAUCUUUGAUUGUGACCUUUUGAUCGAGAUUUCUACUUCUCAGAUGGAUAACAAGGAUGAGUGUUGUUCAACUCACCUCAUUGAUGGGGAUGGAAUGUUCAAUGUUGCUGGAGUCGAGAACUUCAUGAAGGAAGUUAAACUAGCAGAAUGUGGUCUUUCAUAUGCCGUAGUGUCUAUUAUGGGCCCACAAAGUAGCGGGAAAAGUACUCUGUUAAAUCAUCUUUUUCAUACUAACUUUAGAGAGAUGGAUGCAUACAAGGGAAGGUCGCAAACUACAAAAGGUAUUUGGAUGGCUCGAUGUGCUGGGAUUGAGCCUUGCACCCUUGUCAUGGAUUUAGAAGGCACAGACGGUAGAGAACGAGGAGAGGAUGACACUGCAUUUGAGAAGCAGAGCGCUCUAUUCGCCCUUGCUGUUUCUGAUAUAGUGCUCAUCAACAUGUGGUGUCAUGAUAUUGGUCGUGAGCAAGCUGCAAAUAAGCCUCUUUUGAAGACUGUCUUCCAGGUUAUGAUGAGGUUAUUUAGUCCACGUAAAACGACAUUGAUGUUUGUUAUUCGUGACAAAACAAGGACUCCCCUCGAAAACUUGGAACCUGUUCUAAGGGAAGACAUUCAGAAGAUAUGGGAUUCUGUCCCAAAGCCGCAAGCUCACAAGGAUACACCGUUAAGUGAGUUUUUUAAUGUCGAGGUCGUGGCUCUUUCUAGUUUUGAAGAGAAGGAAGAACAAUUCAAAGAGCAGGUGGCUAGUCUCAGACAACGAUUCUUUCAUUCUAUUGCACCUGGUGGGCUUGCUGGA